rnacentral:rRNA from 1 species
UACGAAGGGGGCUAGCGUUGCUCGGAAUGACUGGGCGUAAAGGGCGCGUAGGCGGUUUGUACAGUCAGGUGUGAAAUUCCCGGGCUCAACCUGGGGGCUGCACUUGAUACGUAUGGACUUGAGUGAGGAAGAGGGUCGCGGAAUUCCCAGUGUAGAGGUGAAAUUCGUAGAUAUUGGGAAGAACACCGGUGGCGAAGGCGG